rnacentral:rRNA from 1 species
UGCAGUCGGACGGUAGCACAGGAAAGCUUGCUCUCCGGGUGACGAGUGGCGGACGGGUGAGUAAUGUCUGGGAAACUGCCCGAUGGAGGGGGAUAACUACUGGAAACGGUAGCUAAUACCGCAUAACGUCUUCGGACCAAAGUGGGGGACCUUCGGGCCUCACGCCAUCGGAUGUGCCCAGAUGGGAUUAGCUAGUAGGUGGGGUAACGGCUCACCUAGGCGACGAUCCCUAGCUGGUCUGAGAGGAUGACCAGCCACACUGGAACUGAGACACGGUCCAGACUCCUACGGGAGGCAGCAGUGGGGAAUAUUGCACAAUGGGCGCAAGCCUGAUGCAGCCAUGCCGCGUGUAUGAAGAAGGCCUUCGGGUUGUAAAGUACUUUCAGCGGGGAGGAAGGCGGUGAGGUUAAUAACCUCGCCGAUUGACGUUACCCGCAGAAGAAGCACCGGCUAACUCCGUGCCAGCAGCCGCGGUAAUACGGAGGGUGCAAGCGUUAAUCGGAAUUACUGGGCGUAAAGCGCACGCAGGCGGUCUGUUAAGUCAGAUGUGAAAUCCCCGGGCUUAACCUGGGAACUGCAUUUGAAACUGGCAGGCUUGAGUCUCGUAGAGGGGGGUAGAAUUCCAGGUGUAGCGGUGAAAUGCGUAGAGAUCUGGAGGAAUACCGGUGGCGAAGGCGGCCCCCUGGACUAAGACUGACGCUCAGGUGCGAAAGCGUGGGGAGCAAACAGGAUUAGAUA